rnacentral:rRNA from 1 species
UACGAAGGGGGCUAGUGUUGCUCGGAAUCACUGGGCGUAAAGCGCACGUAGGCGGACUCUUAAGUCGGUGGUGAAAUCCUGGAGCUCAACUCCAGAACUGCCUUUGAUACUGAAGAUCUUGAGUUCGGGAGAGGUGAGUGGAACUGCGAGUGUAGAGGUGAAAUUCGUAGAUAUUCGCAAGAACACCAGUGGCGAAGGCGGCUCACUGGCCCGAUACUGACGCUGAGGCACGAAAGCGUGGGGAGCAAACAGG